rnacentral:rRNA from 1 species
AUUGAACGCUGGCGGCAGGCCUAACACAUGCAAGUCGAACGAGUGGCGGACGGGUGAGUAAUAUCAGGGAAACUGCCCGAUGGAGGGGGAUAACUACCGGAAACGGUAGCUAAUACCGCAUACCAUCGGGUGUGCGCAGAUGGGAUUAGCUAGUAGGUGGGGUAACGGCACACCUAGGCGACGAUCCCUAGCUGGUCUAGGAGGAUGACCAGCCACACUGGAACUGAGACACGGUCCAGACUCCUACGGGAGGCAGCAGUGGGGAAUAUUGCACAAUGGGCGCAAGCCUGAUGCAGCCAUGCCGCGUGUAUGAAGAAGGCCUUCGGGUUGUAAAGUACUUUCAGCGAGGAGGCGUUACUCGCAGAAGAAGCACCGGCUAACUCCGUGCCAGCAGCCGCGGUAAUUC